AUCCAGCUGACGAGUCCCAAAUAGGAUGAAACGCUCUUACUGGAU
rnacentral:hammerhead_ribozyme from 1 species